rnacentral:rRNA from 1 species
GACGAACCGAGCGAACGUUGCUCGGAAUCACUGGGCUUAGAGGGCGCGUAGGCGGGUGCUCAAGUCCGGGGUGAAAUCCUCCAGCUCAACUGGAGAACUGCCUCGGAUACUGGGUGCCUCGAGGGUGGUAGGGGUAUGCGGAACUAUCGGUGGAGCGGUGAAAUGCGUUGAUAUCGAUAGGAACUCCGGUGGCGAAGGCGGCAUACUGGACCACAUCUGACGCUGAGGCGCGAAAGCCAGGGGAGCAAACGGG